GACAGAGGUGCCAAGCGUUAGGCGGAAUCACUGGGCUUAAAGCGUGUGUAGGCGGAUCGUUAAGUGCCUUGUGAAAUCCCACGGCUUAACCGUGGAACUGCUCGGCAUACUGGCGGUCUUGAGCAACCUAGGGGCGAGCGGAACAAAUGGUGGAGCGGUGGAAUGCGCAGAUAUCAGGAAGAACACCAAUGGCGAAGGCAGCUCUCUGGGACGGUACUGACGCUGAGACGCGAAAGCGUGGGGAGCGAACAGG
rnacentral:rRNA from 1 species